CCGUCCUCGUGGCACUAGUCCCUUUCCUUUGGCCUUGAGAACAAAGAUAACCCUGUGAAAUUCUUGUCUGGAUUUUUCCUCUCUGAUGGACAAGGGCAGGCAGCGUUUGAGGGCGCUGCAUUGGCUGAACAAUGUGAUAUCGUGAUGAAAGAAAGCUAACAGCUGUCUUAAUCCCUGUGGAAAUCUCCAUCUCUUUGUGUCGCCUUCCUGGCUGUCAUGUCGUCCUGACACACUGACUCCCAGCCACACUCCUCUAAGAUACCUUAAACCUCUGAAGGACAGCGGUGUGUGAGAUCAAGGUCAGUGUUUGGGUGUUAGACAAAGUCGAGCUCCGAUCCACCCUUCACUUUGUUCCUUCUGACGGUGUAAGACGAUGUGAAUCUGUCCGCCCCUGUGCUGCUGUGAGUUACUUUGGAGACAAAGGGGACUACAGCACAGCAGAUCCCAAAGCUCUUAAGUGGCCAUCAGUGAGUUUCACUCCUCAUCCAGCCCUUUCUGUGAUGAAGAAUGAGCAGAGAAUAGACAAAGACAUGGAUUAUAUACAGAAGACCAACAAGUUUCAACAAGGGUAACAGAAGAGAAUACACCACGACUAUGGACUUUGUUUUUGUUGUUUGUCUAAUUUGUAACUGAAAGAGAUGAUUCCAAGUCUGCAUUUUGUUUAAUAAGAGAUUCAUCUUUUAAAUAGAAGCUUAACAAAAAUGCAGCUGUGUGUCCAUGAAAGCUAAUGCUUGCUAACAAUAAUUGUAGACUCAAUGGGGGGCAUAUUGUAUAUUAGCAAAAACUAACCACAAGAUCAUCCAUCAUUCAAAGCUUUGUUUGGUAUCUUUAUUUGGACCUAUUCAUUUGUUAACAUUGAUUUGAUUGGAUUAAUACGCUGUUACUGCUUUAACAAUUAAAUCUGUCUGAUGAUAUUAUAGUUAACAUACAAAUUUAAGUUGCUCUGCAUUUAUUUCUCUUUUGGAUCUUGUCAGGUCACUAACAAAAAACUAACAUUAUCAUGGUGCCUCUCCUGUGACAAAAAAUUAUAGCACUGCUAACCUAUUAAAGUAGACUAAUACAAUCUACCAACAAAACAUCCAAAUAAAAUCGAUUUGUACGACGAC